rnacentral:misc_RNA from 1 species
AACGCACCUUGCGCUCCUUGGUAUUCCGAGGAGCAUGCCUGUUUGAGUGUCAUUAAAUUCUCAACCUCACCAGUUUUCUGAACUGUUCUCCGAGGCUUGGAUGUGGGGGUUUGUGCAGGCUGCCUCACGGCGGUCUGCUCCCCUGAAAUGCAUUAGCGAGUUCAUACUGAACUUCCGUCUAUUGGUGUGAUAAUUAUCUACGCCGUGGACGAGGUUCAGACUCGCUUCUAACCGUCCGCGAGGACAAUACCUUGACAAUUUGACCUCAAAUCAGGUAGGACUACCCGCUGAACUUAA